rnacentral:rRNA from 1 species
UUGGAGGGCAAGUCUGGUCCCAGCAGCCGCGGUAAUUCCAGCUCCAAUAGCGUAUAUUAAAGUUGUUGCAGUUAAAAAGCUCGUAGUUGAAUUUCGGGGUUCUACCGUUGGUCGGGCUUUGUCUGUACUGGCGUGUAGAAUUUCUACCUUCUGGGGAACCAUCAUGUUAUUAAUUUAGCGUGGUGGGAAACCAGGACCUUUACCUUGAAAAAAUUAGAGUGUUUAAAGCAGGCUAACGUCUGAAUACAUUAGCAUGGAAUAAUGAAAUAGGACGGAUUGGUUCUAUUUCGUUGGUUUCUAGGAUCACCGUAAUGAUUAAUAGGGAUAGUUGGGGGCAUUAGUAUUCAAUUGUCAGAGGUGAAAUUCUUGGAUUUAUUGAAGACUAACUAUUGCGAAAGCAUUUGCCAAGGAUGUUUUCAUUAAUCAAGAACGAAAGUUAGGGGAUCGAAGACGAUCAGAUACCGUCGUAGUCUUAACCAUAAACUAUGCCGACUAGGGAUCGGACGAUGUUAAUAUUAAUGACUCAUUCGGCGCCUUACGGGAAAC